rnacentral:rRNA from 1 species
ACGAACGCUGGCGGCGUGCUUAACCCCUGCAAGUCGAACGGAAAGGCCCCUUCGGGGGUACUCGAGUGGCGAACGGGUGAGUAACACGUGAGUAACCUGCCCUUGACUUCGGGAUAACUUCAGGAAACUGGGGCUAAUACCGGAUAGGAAUCCUUGCUGCAUGGUGGGGGUUGGAAAGCUUCGGCGGUUUUGGAUGGACUCGCGGCUUAUCAGCUUGUUGGUGGGGUAGUGGCUUACCAAGGCUUUGACGGGUAGCCGGCCUGAGAGGGCGACCGGCCACAUUGGGACUGAGAUACGGCCCAGACUCCUACGGGAGGCAGCAGUGGGGAAGAUUGCACAAUGGGCGGAAGCCUGAUGCAGCAACGCCGCGUGCGGGAUGACGGCCUUCGGGUUGUAAACCGCUUUCAGCAGGGGCGAAGCUUGUGGUGACGGUACCUGCAGAAGAAGCACCGGCUAACUACGUG